rnacentral:rRNA from 1 species
GGAAUCUUCCACAAUGGGCGCAAGCCUGAUGGAGCAACACCGCGUGAGUGAAGAAGGGUUUCGGCUCGUAAAGCUCUGUUGUUAGAGAAGAACGUGCGUGAGAGCAACUGUUCACGCAGUGACGGUAUCUAACCAGAAAGUCACGGCUAACUCCGUGCCAGCAGCCGCGGUAAUACGGAGGAUGCAAGCGUUAUCCGGAUUUAUUGGGUUUAAAGGGUGCGUAGGCGGGCUGCUAAGCGUGAGGUGAAAUGCCACGGCUCAACCGUGGGACUGCCUCGCGAACUGGUAGUCUUGAAUGUCCGUGCCGUGGGAGGAAUGUGUGGUGUAGCGGUGAAAUGCAUAGAGAUCACACAGAACACCGAUUGCGAAGGCAUCUCACGAACGGAUGAUUGACGCUGAGGCACGAAAGCGUGGGGAUCAAACA